rnacentral:rRNA from 1 species
AAAGACGUGAUAGCCUGCGAAAAGCUCCGGGGAGGCGGCAAAUAUCCUUUGAUCCGGAGAUGUCUGAAUGGGGAAACCCACUUAUCAUAAGAUAGGUAUUGCAUGAUGAAUACAUAGUCAUGCAAGGCGAACGAGGGGAAGUGAAACAUCUCAGUACCCUUAGGAAAAGAAAUCAAUUGAGAUUCCCUUAGUAGCGGCGAGCGAAAGGGGAACAGCCCAUUAAGUUGUGUGUGUUCUAGUGGAACGCUCUGGGAAGUGCGAACGUAGAGGGUGAUAUUCCCGUACACGAAAGGGCACACACAAUGAUGACGAGUAGGGCGAGGCACGUGAAACCUUGUCUGAAUAUGGGGGGACCAUCCUCCAAGGCUAAAUACUCCUGACUGACCGAUAGUGAACCAGUACCGUGAGGGAAAGGCGAAAAGAACCCCUGUGAGGGGAGUGAAAUAGAUCCUGAAACCGCAUGCAUACAAGCAGUGGGAGCCGA